AUUGAACGCUGGCGGCAGGCUUAACACAUGCAAGUCGAGCGAGCGGCGGACGGGUGAGUAAUGGUUGGGAAACUGUCUGAUGGAGGGGGAUAACUACUGGAAACGGUAGCUAAUACCGCAUACCAUCAGAUGUGCCCAGAUGGGAUUAGCUAGUAGGUGGGGUAAGGGCUCACAUAGGCAACGAUCCCUAGCUGGUCUGAGAGGGUGACGGGCCAAACUGGAACUGGGAAAGGGUCCAGACUCUUACGGGAGGAAGCAGUGGGGAAUAUUGGACAAGGGGCGAAAGCCGGCUGCAGCAAUGCGGCGUGUGUGAAGAGGGCCUUCGGGUUGUAAAGCCCUUUCAGCGAGGAGGCGGUACUCGCAGAAGAAGCACCGGCUAACUCCGUGCCAGCAGCCGCGGUAAUUC
rnacentral:rRNA from 1 species